GGGUAGAGCAGCUUGGUAGCUCGCAAGGCUCAUAACUUGAGGUCACGGGUUCAAAUCCCGUCUCCGCAA
rnacentral:tRNA from 1 species